CAGCGCCUGGUCUGGGAAUCGAAACCGCGAUUCUAUGACCGCGAGUCCGCUGCCCUAACCACUGGGCCAUUGCGCCUCCACGAAUGAAAAGAUGACUACAUGCGUAUAUGCAUACAUAAAUGUGCAGACUCUCAUUCAAUCGAAGCUUAAAUUUUGUUUGAUGCCGCCACCAUAUUAACACUAGCUGAGUCGGCAUAGAUUAUUCAAACACCGAUUGAAAAAUCUGCGGAUAUGUCCGCAGCAUAACUAUAGUAUAUAGAACAGAGAAUUCUAUGAGGUGAAAUUCUUUAUCCAUCCUUGCGGUGCUGAGAACUCAUUUUCUAGUUCGUCACUAACGUGUGUGUGUGUGUGUGUGUACACUGAAAAAAAUUUUG